rnacentral:rRNA from 1 species
GGGGCUUCGGGCUUCACUCCCAACCCCUGUGACAUACCAAUUGUUGCCUCGGCGGAUCAGCCCGCUCCCGGUAAAACGGGACGGCCCGCCAGAGGACCCCUAAACUCUGUUUCUAUAUGUAACUUCUGAGUAAAACCAUAAAUAAAUCAAAACUUUCAACAACGGAUCUCUUGGUUCUGGCAUCGAUGAAGAACGCAGCAAAAUGCGAUAAGUAAUGUGAAUUGCAGAAUUCAGUGAAUCAUCGAAUCUUUGAACGCACAUUGCGCCCGCCAGUAUUCUGGCGGGCAUGCCUGUUCGAGCGUCAUUUCAACCCUCAAGCCCUCGGGUUUGGUGUUGGGGAUCGGCGAGCCCUUGCGGCAAGCCGGCCCCGAAAUCUAGUGGCGGUCUCGCUGCAGCUUCCAUUGCGUAGUAGUAAAACCCUCGCAACUGGUACGCGGCGCGGCCAAGCCGUUAAACCCCCAACUUCUGAAUGUUGACCUCGGAUCAGGUAGGAAUACCCGCUGAACUUAAGCAUAUCAAUAAGCGGAGGAA